UACGUAGGGCGCAAGCGUUGUCCGGAAUUAUUGGGCGUAAAGAGCUCGUAGGCGGCUUGUCACGUCGGGUGUGAAAGCCCGGGGCUUAACCCCGGGUCUGCAUUCGAUACGGGCUAGCUAGAGUGUGGUAGGGGAGAUCGGAAUUCCUGGUCUAGCGGUGAAAUGCGCAGAUAUCAGGAGGAACACCGGUGGCGAAGGCGGAUCUCUGGGCCAUUACUGACGCUGAGGAGCGAAAGCGUGGGGAGCGAACAGG
rnacentral:rRNA from 1 species